UUAAUUGAAGCCAAAAAGAGGCGUAUCACUGUUAAUGAUAAAAAUGGAACACCUUAUAAAUCCCAAUUAAG
rnacentral:tRNA from 1 species